GAUGAACGCUGGCGGCGUGCCUAAUACAUGCAAGUCGAGCGAACAGACGAGGAGCUUGCUCCUCUGACGUUAGCGGCGGACGGGUGAGUAACACGUGGAUAACCUACCUAUAAGGCUGGGAUAACUUCGGGAAACCGGAGCUAAUACCGGAUAAUAUAUUGAACCGCAUGGUUCAAUAGUGAAAGACGGUUUUGCUGUCACUUAUAGAUGGAUCCGCGCCGCAUUAGCUAGUUGGUAAGGUAACGGCUUACCAAGGCAACGAUGCGUAGCCGACCUGAGAGGGUGAUCGGCCACACUGGAACUGAGACACGGUCCAGACUCCUACAGGAGGCAGCAGUAGGGAAUCUUCCGCAAUGGGCGAAAGCUUGACGGAGCAACGCCGCGUGAGUGAUGAAGGUCUUCGGAUCGUAAAACUCUGUUAUUAGGGAAGAACAAAUGUGUAAGUAACUAUGCACGUCUUGACGGUACCUAAUCAGAAAGCCACGGCUAACUACGUG
rnacentral:rRNA from 1 species